GAAAAGAACUUUGAAGAAAGAGUUCAAGAGAACGUGAAACUGCCACGAGGUUAAAGCGGAUGUACAUACGUAGCCGAACCGGGGGUCUCAUCUCCUCGAGCCUCCAGUCGUCGUUGCGUUCGGACCGUCGGCGUACGAUGUCCCGUUCGCGGGCUCGGCUCCGUCGAAGGCCGUCGCAGCUUCGAACUCGGGGGACAGGGGGGUGGAUUUCCCUCCUUAGUAGGCAGUCGCGGCCGCUCGAGAGUUGUCUAAGGCUCGGCAGUUGGGAACCGUCCGGCGUAUCUAUCGCCGGCGGGGACGCUACCUUGAUUCUGGCGGACUCUCGGGCGGUGAAACUGAAAGACGGGGUUUUGGGUCUGAGAAGAAAGACCUCCUCGUACGCGGCUGUAAUUGCGAUCGUUCAUCCGUCCCGUCUUGAAACACGGACCAAGGAGUCUAACAUGUGCGCGAGUCAAAGGGUUGGCUAAACCCCAAGGCGCAACGAAAGUAAAAAAAGUGGAUCUCCUUCUUAGGGAGGGGAGCCGCUGUUGGGUCGAUCCGAGCUCCCCUUUAUCUUUAUUUUAAAGAGGUAAAUGGCGGACCGGCGCAGACCCGGGGCUCGCCGCUACCUCUUCGUUCCCCCCCUUCUCGGGGUGUGGUUCGUGGCGGGCGGCGGGCACCUCGAGCGUACAUGCUAGUACCCGAAAGAUGGUGAUCUAUGCUUGGCCAGGAUGAAGCCAGAGGAAACUCUGGUGGAGGUCCGUAGCGAUUCUGACGUGCAAAUCGAUCGUCAGAGCUGGGUAUAGGG
rnacentral:rRNA from 1 species